UACGAAGGGGGCUAGCGUUGCUCGGAAUUACUGGGCGUAAAGGGAGCGUAGGCGGACAUUUAAGUCAGGGGUGAAAUCCCAGAGCUCAACUCUGGAACUGCCUUUGAUACUGGGUGUCUUGAGUGUGAUAGAGGUAUGUGGAACUCCGAGUGUAGAGGUGAAAUUCGUAGAUAUUCGGAAGGACACCAGUGGCGAAGGCGACAUACUGGAUCAUUACUGACGCUGGAGGCUCGAAAAGCCGUGGGGGAGCAAAACAGGG
rnacentral:rRNA from 1 species